rnacentral:rRNA from 1 species
GAUGAACGCUGGCGGCGUGCCUAAUACAUGCAAGUCGAGCGAACGGACGAGAAGCUUGCUUCUCUGAUGUUAGCGGCGGACGGGUGAGUAACACGUGGAUAACCUACCUAUAAGACUGGGAUAACUUCGGGAGACCGGAGCUAAUACCGGAUGAUAUUUUGAACCGCAUGGUUCAAAAGUGAAAGACGGUCUUGCUGUCACUUAUAGAUGGAUCCGCGCUGCAUUAGCUAGUUGGUAAGGUAACGGCUUACCAAGGCAACGAUGCAUAGCCGACCUGAGAGGGUGAUCGGCCACCCUGGAACUGAGCCACGGUCCAGACUCCUCCGGGAGGCAGCAGUAGGGAAUCUUCCGCAAUGGGCGAAAGCCUGACGGAGCAACGCCGCGUGAGUGAUGAAGGUCUUCGGAUCGUAAAACUCUGUUAUUAGGGAAGAACAUAUGUGUAAGUAACUGUGCACAUCUUGACGGUACCUAAUCAGAAAGCCACGGCUAACUACGUG